GGGCGGAUAGCUCAGAUGGGAGAGCAUCGGCCUUACAAGCCGGGGGUCACAGGUUCGAGUCCUGUUCCGCCCACCA
rnacentral:tRNA from 1 species